rnacentral:rRNA from 1 species
UAAGCAUAUCAAUAAGCGGAGGAAAAGAAACUAACAAGGAUUCCCCUAGUAACUGCGAGUGAAGCGGGAAAAGCUCAAAUUUAAAAUCUGUCAGUCUUUGGCUGUCCGAGUUGUAAUCUAGAGAAGCGUUAUCCGCGCUGGACCGUGUACAAGUCUCCUGGAAUGGAGCGUCAUAGAGGGUGAGAAUCCCGUCUUUGACACGGACUGCCAGGGCUUUGUGAUGCGCUCUCAAAGAGUCGAGUUGUUUGGGAAUGCAGCUCAAAAUGGGUGGUAAAUUCCAUCUAAAGCUAAAUAUUGGCGAGAGACCGAUAGCGAACAAGUACCGUGAGGGAAAGAUGAAAAGAACUUUGGAAAGAGAGUUAAACAGUACGUGAAAUUGCUGAAAGGGAAACGCUUGAAGUCAGUCGCGUUGUCCAGGGAUCAACCUUGCUUUUGCUUGGUGUACUUUCUGGUUGACGGGUCAGCAUCAAUUUUGACUAUUGGAAAAAGACUAAGGGAAUGUGGCAUCUUUGGAUGUGUUAUAGCCCUUGGUUGCAUACAAUGGUUGGGAUUGAGGAACUCAGCACGCCGCAAGGCCGGGUUUUUAACCACGUACGUGCUUAGGAUGCUGGCAUAAUGGCUUUAAUCGACCCGUCUUGAAACACGGACCAAGGAGUCUAACAUGCCUGCGAGUGUUUGGGUGGAAAACCCGGGCGCGUAAUGAAAGUGAAAGUUGAGAUCCUUGUCAUGGGGAGCAUCGACGCCCGGACCAGACCUUUUGUGACGGUUCCGCGGUAGAGCAUGUAUGUUGGGACCCGAAAGAUGGUGAACUAUGCCUGAAUAGGGUGAAGCCAGAGGAAACUCUGGUGGAGGCUCGUAGCGAUUCUGACGUGCAAAUCGAUCGUCAAAUUUGGGUAUAGGGGCGAAAGACUAAUCGAACCAUCUAGUAAGCUGGUUCCUGCCGA